rnacentral:sRNA from 2 species
UGCAUUAACAUGUAUGAUAUCCGUCUUACAGAUGAGUACAGCGCAUGUGGGAUGAAUUGGCCUCCUGACUUGGAGAAUAUUGAACCGUAUCUCCGGUUUAAGAAUGUCACCGAAGCGUUACAUAUUAAUAGCGACAAACAAACUGGCUGGUCUGAAUGCUCUGGUGCAGUAGGUGGCCAUUUCAGGGCCCUGAAAUCCAAGCCAUCCGUCGAGCUGCUACCUGGACUUCUCGAGGAGGGCCUUCCGAUUCUUCUAUUCAGUGGACAGAAGGACCUGAUAUGCAAUCACAUCGGCACUGAAGACCUGAUCAAGGACAUGAAAUGGUCUGGAGGGACAGGAUUCGAACUCUCGCCCGGUAUCUGGGCGCCACGACAAGAUUGGACCUUCGAAGGUGAAUCGGCAGGAUUCUAUCAAAAGGCCCGAAAUCUGACAUACGUCUUAUUCUACAACGCAAGCCACAUGGUGCCGUUCAACUACCCACGCCGCUCGCGCGAGAUGCUCGACAGAUUCAUGGGAGUUGAUAUUGCGGACAUUGGCGGCAACCCUGCCGACUCUCGAAUCGACGGCGAAAAGGGCCCCGCAACCUCCGUCGGCGCGCAUCCAAACAGUACAGCAGCCGCCGAGCGCGAGAAGGAGAAGGUGAAGUCCGCCAUGUGGAAGGCAUAUUACAAAUCCGGGGAAGUGGCGCUUAUUGUCGUCGCCAUCGCCGCUAUCAUAUGGGGCGUUUUCAUCUGGCGAUCGCGUCAGAAGGACCAGGACAGAGGAUACGAGUUCCGGGGCAUCUACCCGAUGCUGGGGUCGAGUAGCUCGGGAUCCCUUCCUAGAUAUUCGAAUAAACGGGGUAGACGUGGGCAUGAUGUUGAGGCGGUAAAUAUCUACGAGGCGGAGUUGGAUGAGCGGCCAAGUCGGGUUGUUUCGGCGAGGUCGAGUAGAGAGCAGGAGCCUUAUGUUGUUGGAGAUGAGGACGGGAGUGAUGUGGAUGAUGAUACGUCUGACGAACGGAAAGGGCUCGUUGAUAAACCCUAAAGCAAAGGGGAAGGGGAAAAGGAGGAGCGUGGUUUACCUGGAACACAUCAUGCUCCUGGGAAUUUCUCUCAGGGUUUUGCCUCAGUACAGCCUUAUAUCUGGCUCACUGGCCCAACAACCGAACGGACUUCAUAUUCCACAGAACACAACCAUCUAGCUGCUUACUUAUCUAUCUCCUACCUUCCCACCACCUCAGCUCAGCUAUUCUCCAUCUUCUAUUCUCUCCUUGUCCUUUCUACUUUUUAUAUACUUUAAUCCAUGAACUAUCCCUUUCUUUUUCAUAUAUCGCAAAUUAUUUUGUUCUGUUUAUAUAAUAUAUUCACGGCCCUUUUAUACAUCCUUGAUAUCCUUCUUUUUUUUUAUUAUUAUUAUUCUUUAAAUUUAUGGUGUUCAGGGAUCUUUCUUCGCCAUUUCUACUUUUAUUUUCAUUUUCAUUUUUACUUUAUUCAAUUUGUCAUUUUGGCUUGUUUCUUCCCCCUUUUUAUUUCAUAACUAAUGCCAUAAGGCUUGUUAGGCUUCAUUUCUAGAUAUUUACAAGUCAGAUAUAUUUGUCCCAUUUCGUUAUCAUGUCUUCCCGCGGUUUUCUUACUUGUUGACAUUCUAUUACGCAAGCAAGGUGUUUCUGUGCAGGGUAUCUAGGGCUAUACAGGGCCCUUCCUUCAGAAACAAAGGACCGUUCAAUAACAUUUGGAAGUGUUUAUUGUCCGGUAAAUUCGCAUCUGAGCGGUUAAUUAAUAUAUUAUUGUUCUCCAUUGCUAGUUCCCGGGGGGAUUAUUCGUGGACUAGAUUCUCGGAGAAUAACAUAUAGUUACCGUGAUGAAAACGGGAGAUGUACCUUCAGAGCAUAUUAUUUUAUAAGUAAUCUAAAUUGAUCCAACUCUGUUCUGAAAAUGCGAAACGAUGAACGAAGUUUACAUUAUAGACCACCACCACCACCACCAUCAUCAUCAUCCUGAUCAUCUCUCCAGCCUCCAAACCUUCACAUCUCCACCAUCACCCGUACUUAUCAGGACCUCCUCCUCUUCUCCCUCCUUACGCCCUUUAUCAGCCCGCAGUGCCCAGCACACAUGAUUAACCUCGUAGAUGCCGUGCGCAGCAUCGAUCAUAGCGAGGACGUGCCAUUCUGUUUGAGGGGUAGCCGUGGGCCCUGGUCGCGUCCGCGCUUGUUCUUCUGCUCGUGCAUUAUCACCAUUCUUCUCGAUACUACCUACAUCUGCCGGUGGUGAGGGAGCAUCCGUAUCCAAGUUCAUAUUACCAUUUGCGUUCGUAGUUGGAGAAGCCUCUUCUGGCCCCUGUGCUUCAACAAAUCGCUCCUGGUAUACUACAAUCCUCCCAUCCGCGCCUGUCGACGCGAUCAGCCCGGUCCGUUUACUCCAUGCAACGGAGUAGAUGGACAGAUCGUGCCGGCGUGGUAAUUGGGACUGCUCAAGCCACUUUUCGUCAAUAUCGGCUGGGCGGAUAAUGCUGGGCAUCGACGCAGGGCCGGAUUUGGCGGUUGCAGGAUGGCGAGCUUGUUUAGCCCAUAUGCGAAUCGUGCGGUCGUCGGAGCAGG